ACGCAACUUCCGUUUAUUUUACAAAAUCAAAGUAUACGAAUUUUAUGACAAAAUAAGUUGUGAAAGUUUGAUUUUGUGGAAAUAAGCUUUAUGAGGUAGAAGUCCCAAACUGACACUUUGGAGAUAAACUAACUGUUAAAGGCUCACCUCCAGUGCACUGCCUUCCUCUCCUGCCCUAAACAACAAUCUAACCUUCACAAGAUGGAGAAGUUCUUACUUCAAACUCUAAUGCAUUUGAGAGUGCUCUGAAAACAAACAGAGGCUGGACUGCCAUCACCAGGACUGCAGCACCACGACUACUGACACAGGUAACACAUUCACCCAGCAUCCCCUCCCUUUAUAGCUGCAUCAACUAAACUAAACACGCCUCCACUGCUGGGACGGCGUGAUUUACUUCUUUGUUUCUUUUUUAAAAUAUCGCUUGUGUCGUUUGAAUGCACGAAAUUAUUAAUUCACGUUGUUGCAUGCAAGAACUGGAUCUUUCUGUGAACAUUAUUCUGCCGCCGGGUCUGAAAAGGUUGAGCUGAAUAAUGGUCUCAUUUAAGAGCGUUUCAAUUCAACCUUUGAACCUAGCGCAGAUGAUUGGGUUGUUUGCUUCCUUUCCCGUUUUUGCCAACUAACAUAAUUCAAGAUCGACUUUUCCUGUUGCUCUUAUGACUCAACAAACAAGAAAAAUAACUUUUGAAAUUGCAUCUCUUAGUCUCACAUUGCAUUGCUUUGGUGAAAUCUAAUUUGAGAGAAAAUGGCAACCCAGCUGUUCUUUUGAUAGAGAAUCACCAAAACAUGGGUUGCAUAGUCCAUCCUCAUCUACACAUCAAUGAGCUUUUCUCUUGUCUGCAAGGCUAUAAUUAAAGCUCUGUGCUGUGCUAGGGGUAAUUUAUCCUCCUUCUCUGGCUCUGUGCUGAAAUCAGGUAGCAGGGCAUGAUUGCAGUGGAUGGGGUGUUGCACUUUGCACAAUGCGGCCGCUUUGUGUCCUUCGAACUUGUGGAGCACAUGUGGAUGAGCUCCCAUUAAAUAUACAAAUUUAUUAUGCAAACAAAAGGGGUUAAUUAUCCACAUAUUUGUAUGCAGGGUGUAAAUGAAUUAUAUGGGGAAAAUGUGUUUCAUAGCAACCGUCUCUGGAAGGAAGGUCGGGUUGUUGUUUUUUGUUGCUGCUAUGAAGGUUAUGGUGCACUAUCAGAAUCAUCAGAGAGAGACGUCGGACCAAUGACCAGUUCAAAAUGGACAUUUUACUGCAAAAUUGAAUUUUUUUAUUUUAUUUUUAGGACUAAAGCAGGAUAUAAAAAUAAGAAAAGAAAAAUGAAUUCACUAAAGCUUUUUCAUAUGCAACAGCAUCGCCAUAUAGAGGUUUAAGCAGCAGACCAGAGAAAGUGAGAUCAUUCAUCUCCUCCAUAAUUAAUUGCUUUAUCUAGUCAAUUAGGCAUGCAUGUUAGCACCUGCACAUUCUCUGAAGACAAAGGAGAGAAUUAUUUCCCAAAGGCAAUAGUAGCUAACUCAUUUCAGCUUUAAUUUGUCAGAAUUUCAGCUUUAGUAUUUUGUCAAAAUGUUUAAAUGAAAAGAUCAGUCUAAUUUUAACAGCAUGGAGUAUCAGUUAUGUGGAUUUUAUUUUUAAUUUAUAAAAAAAAAAAAAAGCAACAACAGGGAAUGAAGAUGCUCAAAUUAUAUAUAAUUGAUAGAAAUCCUGAUCAGAAAUCCACCACAAAAUUAUGAACGGCUCAACAGUAAAUGUACUAAUAUGGUAGAAUCAUCACUUCUACGACAAAAGACUGCUUUGUAAAUUAUCUUCCUGAUUUGUCUCAAUUCCUCAGCUUAUACGAUAGCUCAGAAAAACUUGCUGCUGUAACAGAAACUAUGGACUUCCUCUUUUCUAUCACUUUAGACAAGGUUGCUCCUACCCUUAAAGAAAACAGUCAGCCAUGUUUCUAGCAUUUGUAAAACCACAUUUAUCUAUCUGAAAAAUAUAUCUAAGUUACGACCUAUGGUUUCAAUGUCCAAAUGCAGAAACGCUAAUUCAUGCGUUCAUGACCUCAAGGUUAGAUAAUUUUAUUGUAUCUAUUGGGUGUUUGCUCUGUGCGCUUAAUAAGCAAACUCCAUCUGGUCCAAAAUGCAGCAGCUGGAGUAUUUACUAGAACCAGGAAGUAUGAUCACAUUAGCCUGGUUCUGUCAACUCUGCACUGGCUUCCUGUUAAACAUCGUAUAGAUUUUAAAAUCUUGCUAAUUACUUAUAAAGCCCUGAUUGGUUUAGCUCCUCAGUACUUGAACCAGCUCUUAUCACAUUAUUGUCCUUUAUGUCUGCUGCAAUCUCAAAACUCUGGCCAUUUGAUAAUACCUAGAAUAUCAAAAUCAACUGCGGCCAGCAGAUCCUUUUCCUGUUUAGUGUCCAACAGUGAAAAAAUCUACCUAGCAUUGUUCGGGAGGCAGACACACUCUGUCAGUUUAAAUCUAGAUUAAAGAUCCAUCUCUUUAACCUGGCAUACAAAUAACACACAAUCACUUUUCUAUAAUUCAA